AACGUAGGGUCCGAGCGUUGUCCGGAGUUACUGGGCGUAAAGCGCGCGCAGGCGGCGGUGCUGGCCCGGCGUGAAAGCCCCCGGCUCAACCGGGGAGGGUCGUCGGGGACCGCACCGCUUGAGGGCGGUAGGGGCUGGUGGAAUGCCUGGUGUAGUGGUGAAAUGCGUAGAGAUCAGGCGGAACACCCGUGGCGAAGGCGGCCAGCUGGGCCGUCCCUGACGCUGAGGCGCGAAGGCGUGGGGAGCGAACGGG
rnacentral:rRNA from 1 species